rnacentral:lncRNA from 1 species
GCGUUCACAGGAGUCCCCUGACACCUCCCACUCGGAAGAUAGCUAACGGGGGUCCUGCCAACCCUUCCCAUCCAACUUCCAUCUGAAAAGGAUUUUCUGCUAAAGUUGGGUCCAUGGCCAUCCAGCACCUGUAAGGCCGGCAGGAGCGUCUGCCCUCUACUCAGUUAAAGCCUGAAGUCGUUUCCUUUCGAUGGCCCUUAGGAGGCCCAAAAGAGGGGCGACAGAACAUGAUGUUGACACGGGCUGGGCGCCCCCAGAAGCCCGGGAACAAACGUUUCUACUUUCCAGGUCCACUGGUGUUUGGUGUACCCAUGUGACUAAUUUGUCCAAAGAGAGAUUUCUGUGAAUAGACCAGAAGCCGACCUUUACAGUGUGUUUGGGUGCAGGUGAGGCUGAUUUGAGGCAAAUGUGCUUUACAGAUCUACAAUCUUAUACCUCACUCUGGCUGAAGCACCAGUCCCCAAGUGCAGACUUCUUGCCUGUUUCCCGUGUAACACUGUCCAACUCUGAAGGCUCCUACCCUGACCUUGGC